rnacentral:rRNA from 1 species
CAGUAGCCGCGGGAAUACGUAGGUGGCAAGCGUUGUCCGGAAUUAUUGGGCGUAAGGGGCCCGCAGGCGGUUUCUUAAGUCUGAUGUGAAAGCCCCCGGCUCAACCGGGGAGGGUCAUUGGAAACUGGGAAACUUGAGUGCAGAAGAGGAGAGUGGAAUUCCACGUGUAGCGGUGAAAUGCGUAGAGAUGUGGAGGAACACCAGUGGCGAAGGCGACUCUCUGGUCUGUAACUGACGCUGAGGAGCGAAAGCGUGGGGAGCGAACAGGAUUAGAGACCCCGGUAGUCCCUGUCUCUUAUAC